CCUGGGUAUGUUGGCGCACGCCUGUAAUCCCAGUGGCUCGGGAGGCUGAGGCGGGAGGAUUGGGAGUUCAAGGCCAGCCUCAGCAACUUAGCAAGGCCCUAAGCAACUUAGCAAGACCCUGUCUCUA
rnacentral:sRNA from 1 species